rnacentral:rRNA from 1 species
UACGAAGGGGGCUAGCGUUGCUCGGAAUCACUGGGCGUAAAGGGUGCGUAGGCGGGUCUUUAAGUCAGGGGUGAAAUCCUGGAGCUCAACUCCAGAACUGCCUUUGAUACUGAAGAUCUUGAGUCCGGGAGAGGUGAGUGGAACUGCGAGUGUAGAGGUGAAAUUCGUAGAUAUUCGCAAGAACACCAGUGGCGAAGGCGGCUCACUGGCCCGAUACUGACGCUGAGGUGCGAAAGCGUGGGGAGCAAACGGG